CGACCAGCAGCCAAAUAAUUCUGGGAAUGGAGGAGGGAAGGGAGCUCUCAGCAGGGCGGCCAAGAGAGGCAGCCCUCACUUCCCAGAAAACUUCAAUUCCUCAUUACCUGUGUCAGCUGGGGUUCAAUCAGGAGACAGAAACCACACCAGUUAGUUUGAAAAGAGAAUUCAGCAUAAGGAACUGAUAAUGAGGUAUGAAGUUGUUAAUUAGGUAAGGAGAGGGUAAGGAGAGAGAAGAGUAAGCUUUCAUGGGGGUUGCACCUGCAGGAGCAGCUACCACUCCAGGGCUGGAGAACCCUAAGGAAGAGUUUUGAAGGAGGGUUCCAGAGCCUGUGACCCAGACAUCUGAGGAGGGGGCUCAACUCAGCGGGAGCUGGGGUCUCCGGGUGUGAAGAAAGGACUCCUGCACCCAGACCUCUGCGGAAGGGGCACCUGCCAGCUGGUGCUGGGGUCUCUCAGGCUUCAUUUGCAUCAGAGGUGGGACAGCUUGUUACAUAUCACCCUUGGCUGUGAUCAUAGCCUCAGAUGCUUCUCAACUGGAGCAAACUCAAGCAGGCUGUUUGAAAACAUUUUGAAAACCUCCCAGCCAGAAACCUUGUUCCAGCAGUGCAGAGCAGCUCAGGUCCUGCCUUGAAUCAAAAGGAAGGAGACUGAGCCUCUCAGAGGACCAGGAACCAAGCCAAGGCUUGACAAAACCAGCCUCUCUCUCUCUGCUGUCUGGAAAGGUACUGCCCACCACCCACCACCCCCAUCACUCCUCUAAGAUUUUCCACUGUUGGUCAUAUGUGCAGAGACUGCCAGCAGCUUUCAUGGUGACCGAGCUUUGCUGAGGAGGAUCAACACUUUCUCAUGACCAAAAGCAAUAAUGUCUCUUGAAAAGCGGCUGUCACACAUCCUACCAGACUAUGACCAACUUAUUUGCCUUUCCUAUUAUUAAUGGUUGCCUUAGAUCCAGCACCUAACAUCAUAGCAGCCGUGUUCCAUGCGAGGUGUUCACUUACCCACUGGAAAUCACAGUCCUGCUCUACGUAAUCAUGAAUUUCAAUAUGCUAACAGUAUUAAGCUGGCCAAGAUAAACUUAACGGAUUUGGUUUAGUAUUUGGUGCCAAGAAACAUACAGCUGAUGAACCCAGCUCACAGUUGCACUGAAAUCACCUGGUGUUUCCUUGCCUCUCUAUCUACUCUGUCCUCAGGCAGGCACUGAGAGAGAUGACCUUGGCCAGGCCAUGCAGGAAGACGGGAAAAUUGCUUACAGCUCUGACAGGAGCUGCACCCUGCAAAAAACAGCCUUUGGAUUGUUGACUCACCAAACUAGCCAGUUCGUGUUAAUGCAGCUGUGACACAGGAUGGCUUUGCUGCCUCCUAGGUGGUGAGACAAAGGGACGUGAGGAGGGGGCAAAAGGGAACGCAGAAAAAUACCUGGUUCAUGCAGACCUGUGGGAACAGCUGCCAAACAAAAAUUACUGAGGACAUUUGUGAGGGUAACUGGCGGAGAUCUUACCAGAGAUUUGAACUGUAAAGGAAAGUGGUAAAGUUUUAUUUAGGACACCCCAAGGCGGAGCUGAGCACGGUGGAAGGUCCAACUCGAUUCUCGAAUAGUAAGAGAACAAAGUAUCUGGAUACACUUCUCAUGCUCAUUCAUCCUGUGCCAUGUAAUUGGGGUUCAAAACUAGGAUGGAAAACCUAAAAAAAAAUUAUUAGUGAAUGAGGAAGUGGCAAAAGAAAAAAAAAUUUACUCAACAAAGACAAAGGUUCCUUGGGCACUUAGAAUGCACUGGGCACUGUGUUAGGGGUAUUGAGUGGACAAGAGUGAUCACCAGCUUCCAGUCCAGAGAGAAGGGCAGAUGUAGGAUAAGGAGAACCAGGAUGGACACCGAGCAGCAGGAGUUCCAUGUGUUACAAGUUCUGUCCCCAAGGGCCUCUCUGCCUGAGGGUCUCCCGCUGGGACGGCCAUCUUCGUUACCACUGCUCUACCUGCACUUGCGGCUCCCUUAUGGAAGUGGGUAUUUCUGGGCUCUGCCCUCGGAGAGUCUGCUUUCAUCUGCAUGGGGAAGGAAAUCUGUAUUUUUUUCCCCGGGCUCUCCAGGUAAUUAUGGUAAGCUGGGUCUGGAACACUUCCUCUCGUAGACUCAGGUUAGAAAGUUGCUGGGUGGUACAAAGUCCAUGCUGAGAAGGCACAGUUGAAUACAUCCUGCUCUCCUGUAGGAGAUCCUGAGUGUCCUCUCCUCUGGGAGCCAGCCUAGAUGGUGUUAGGGUCCCUCCUCUGUGCUACACUAGUGAUCUGGGCCCGCUUGCUUUAGCACAGUCUGUUAUCAUGCUGGCUUAUUCUAGGUCUCUGCCAUUAGGCUCUGAAUUCCAACAUGGCUGUUGUAUCUCACUCACCUCCUUUUCCCUGGUGUUUGGCAUAAAGGGUAUACAAUAAAUAUCUGUUGCUAAAUGAGGGAGGGGAGCGCGUUUUUUUUGAGAUAGAGUCUCACUCUGUCGCCCAGG
rnacentral:lncRNA from 10 species